CCCUUAGAUGUUCUGGACCGCACGCGCGUUACAAUGAAUCGUUCAACAGGUUUUCUUCCUGAGUCGAAAGGCUUGGGUAAUCCUUUAAAUACGGUUCGUGCUAGGGAUAGAUUUUUGCAAUUAUUAAUCUUGAACGAGGAAUAUUUAGUAAACGCAGGUCAUCAGCCUGCAUUGAUUACGUCCCUGCCCUUUGUACACACCGCCCGUCGCACCAACCGAUUGGAUGUUUUGUUGAAAUAUGUGGAUGUUUUUUGAGUGGAUUAAUUUUCGCUCGAUAGACAGAAACGUAUUAAAACUGAAUAUAUAGAGGAUGGUGAAGUCGUAACA
rnacentral:rRNA from 1 species